UCCGCAACCCCCAGCUCCAGAGCCGCAUGUGGCUUUUUAGCGCCUCCCUAGUGGCUUCCUGGAGCUUUUUCAAAAAUAUUUGAAAAUGGAAAAAGAUGUGGGAUGGAAAUGUAUUUU